rnacentral:lncRNA from 1 species
ACUAAGACGUUACAGCGCAGAGAUGACGACUGAUGUGAUGCCCUUCUUGUCCAUGGCAGCGUGCCCUGCCAACUUAGUGGUAGACGAGUGCGGCGAGCCCUGCGUCGACAACGAGGACUGCAAGGAACCGGGACUCGCCUGUUGCCGCUUGAGCUGCGACGACGAACGAGGAUCCUUUUGCUACGCCGUGCACGACAACCGCUAGAGCACCCACCCCACAAACUAUUUAUUGCCCAGCCACCAGGUGUCUCCCCCAACCCUACCCCCCUCCCCCCUCUUCGUCCAUGUGCAGCCCUCAAACAUCAGUGCCAAAUAAACUUGUCGACCAAC